rnacentral:tRNA from 1 species
GUAAAAGUGUCAGAUGUAAUGAGCCGAUUUUAAGCGUCGGCUAUGGGAUUAAAUCCUCUUUUAUU